rnacentral:rRNA from 1 species
GGCGAAGUGAAGCGGCAAAAGCUUCAAAUUUUGAAAUCCCCCGGGAAUUUGUAAUUUUGAAGAGAUUUUGGGUCCGGCCGGCAGGGGUUAAGUCCACUGGAAAGUGGCGCCACAGAGGGUGACAGCCCCGUGAACCCCCUCAACGCCCUCAUCCCAGAUCUCCAAGAGUCGAGUUGUUUGGGAAUGCAGCUCUAAGUGGGUGGUAAAUUCCAUCUAAAGCUAAAUACCGGCGAGAGACCGAUAGCGAACAAGUACAGUGAUGGAAAGAUGAAAAGCACUUUGAAAAGAGAGUGAAAAAGUACGUGAAAUUGUUGAAAGGGAAGGGCUUGCAAGCAGACACUUAACUGGGCCAGCAUCGGGGCGGCGGGAAGCAAAACCACCGGGGAAUGUACCUUUCGAGGAUUAUAACCCCGGUCCUUACUCCCAUGCCGCCCCGAGGCCUGCAAUCUAAGGAUGCUGGCGUAAUGGUUGCAAGUCGCCCGUCUUGAAACACGGACCAAGGAGUCUAACAAUCAUGCAAGUGUUUGGGCCCAAAACCCAUACGCGCAAUGAAAGUAACCGGAGCGAACCUUAUGGUUGCACUUCCGCCCACACCAAAACCCAAUUCCCGUUGUAACCAACCAGGGCGGUUGGAACCCAAAAAAUGUUGAACUAUACCUGGAAUAGGGUGAACCCAAAGGAAACUCUGGUGGAGGCUCGUACCGGUUCUGACGUGCAAAUCGAUCGUCGAAUCUGGGUAUAGGGGCGAAAGACUAAUCGAACCAUCUAGUAGCUGGUUCCUG